CCUACGGGAGGCAGCAGUGGGGCAUAUUGCACAAUGGGGGGAACCCUGCUGCAGCGACGCCGCGAGGGUGAAGGAGUAUUUCGGUAUGUAAAGCCCUAUCAGCAGGGAAGAACAAUGACGGUAACUGACUAAGAAGCACCGGCUAAAUACGUGCCAGCAUCCGCGGUAAUACGUAUGGUGCAAGCGUUAUCCGUAUAUCAUGGGUGGAAAGGGAGGGCAGGCGGCGCGUUAAGCCGGGUGUGAAAGACCGCGGCCCAACCGCGGGACUGCAUUGGGGUCUGGCGCGCUGGAGUGCCGGAGGGGUAGGCGGAAUUCAUAGUGUAGCGGUGAAAUGCGUAGAUAUUAUGAGGAACACCAGUGGCGAAGGCGGCCUACUGGACGGUGACUGACGCUGAGGCUCGAAAGCGUGGGGAGCAAACAGGAUUAGAUACCCGGGUAGUC
rnacentral:rRNA from 1 species